rnacentral:rRNA from 1 species
UCAGAUUGAACGCUGGCGGCAGGCCUAACACAUGCAAGUCGAGCGGUAACAGAAAGUAGCUUGCUACUUUGCUGACGAGCGGCRGACGGGUGAGUAAUGCUUGGGAACAUSCCUUGAGGUGGGGGACAACAGUUGGAAACGACUGCUAAUACCGCAUAAUGUCUACGGACCAAAGGGGGCUUCGGCUCUCGCCUUUAGAUUGSCCCAAGUGGGAUUAGCUAGUUGGUGAGGUAAUGGCUCACCAAGGCGACGAUCCCUAGCUGGUUUGAGAGGAUGAUCAGCCACACUGGGACUGAGACACGGCCCAGACUCCUACGGGAGGCAGCAGUGGGGAAUAUUGCACAAUGGGCGCAAGCCUGAUGCAGCCAUGCCGCGUGUGUGAAGAAGGCCUUCGGGUUGUAAAGCACUUUCAGUCAGGAGGAAAGGUUAGUAGUUAAUACCUGCUAGCUGUGACGUUACUGACAGAAGAAGCACCGGCUAACU